rnacentral:lncRNA from 1 species
AGUACUUUCCAGGUGAAAAGGAUGUCUCGAUAAUUCCAUCUGCAUUAAUGAGAGCUUGUCGCGCCAAAGCAUUGAUUUCCAUUGUGUAUCGAAAAUAAGGAUGUAACAGUCUGUAAAUUGGGUGCAGCUCACUGAGCUGUCUGUUGGUUGCAAUUAUAUAAGGCUCUGUUGCACAAUGAGUUCUUAGCCUGCAAAAUAAAAAUACUACACAUUACCCCCUGUGUCACUGCUUGUACUUUCUAUACACACCGAACAUUAUAAUGUUAGUUUACAAAUUAGCAAAAAAGAAACUAUAGUUUGCAGAAAUUUGGACCUAGGACAGCCAAAAUUUUCUGAUAAAAUAGUACUGAGGCGUGAAUAUUUUCCGUUCAGAGGAAAAUACAUUUUUCAAAAGAUUUAUCAGAGAUGUCAUGUACCAUAUGAGAUUUAUAUAUAUAUAUAAGUGCCUAUAUAUAUAUAUGUAUGUAUGUAUUACAAUACAUUUGCAAGAUCAUGAAACUGUCUGUGCCUUUGUUGGCCAGCCUAAUGUUUAGUUUCUGUAAGUGUGGAACAUUGAAAUAUAUGUAAUGGAAAAAACCUUCAUAGUUUAAUGUGUAUAAGCUGAUAGCUGAAUGUUAUGGCCCUGUUUGACAAUUAGAGAUUAGCGGAUUGAGUCAACUGUUUUUACUAAUUGAUUGAAGUAGCUAUUUUGACUAGCGGAUUGAAUUAACUAUUUUGUAUGAAAUUAUUUGAUAAAUAGGUUUUUAAUUAGUUUUUUGUAUUUUAAGUGGAGAGAUAGCAAACCUCUAACCGAAAAAGCUCCUCCAAGUCGUUUUUUUCGAAAUUAGCUUUUUAAAUCCAAUCCGCUACUUCACUUCACUAACUAUCAAACACCAAUAUGCAAUGUUUUAAAAUAAGCAGAGAUUUUGGUGAAUAUACCAGUGACUAACAAGCUGAUGAAAACCAGAGUCAUGUGCCAAGAAAUGAGCUUUAGCAAGCUUCCAAAGCCAAACACUUGUCGCAUCAAACCCCGGAGAAUAUGCUUCCUUCCACUGAGGUUUCCCAUCCAUCGGAGGUCGGGCAAGCUCAAUGGCUACUGGCUUCAAUGUGCCAAUAGGAGUUAAAAAAAACAAGGCCCUUGAUCCAUAUAGAGUUGUCCCUUUUAUCUGCCUCACUUUCUUCACAUAUGGUAGUAGCAAAUCAUGGUAAUCUAUCAUGAAAAGUUUCUUCUGCUUUAUGGCCUGCAUUGAUAUGUAUGAUUAUCAAACAUAAGCUGAUUCACAAUUUCACAUAGUAUUAUAGCAAGUCUAUUGGUUGUGGACACCAGAACACGACAGUGACUGUUUUAAGACUCAUGAGUACCUCGUCAACUGUCAUGAAUCCUCUGAUUACUUCCUCCACACAUUUUGUGGAGAUUACUGAUUCAGGAGGUCCAUACUCCUUAGGGUCAAGCUCACUUUUCAACGGCCAUUCCUGCAUAUUAUUCAUGUACCAAUAUAUAUGUUCAGACUUCACAUAUACCUAAGAAUGUUUAUAGAGGACUAGAACAAAUUUAUGUAUCUAGGACAUACAUAAUAAAGAUACUUAUGGUAUGUGGAUGACAUACUUUAACUAACUGUAAGCAACAAGGGUUCAGGCCAGCAAGGGUCUGACGACCAAAUUCCUCAUCCUUCAUCCACUUAAAUUUAUCACCUGAUAAUAAGUACACGAUAAAAAAUAUGGGAUCAGACAAUGAACCCCAUGUACAUUUAUACUUCUUUGGAGGUUGAAGGAUAGAUCAGAAAGUUGUUCUUACGGUCAAGAAAUUCAGGAGUCUCAAAUAGGAUGAUGUUUUUUCCUUGAUCAGUGACCGUUUUGAGGAGACGAGGUAGAAGAUUCGUUAGAGUUGCUUUAGGAACCUCAGGCAGAUCAACGCCCUCAUUGAAUAGAGUAUCAAUGGCGGUGAAAUAUGGAAAUCCAAAUUCUGAGUCGAUGGACACAUUUUCUAGUGAAGGUAGGACAGCAUGAAUCACCGAGUAGACUGUCUUGGCUGAGAAUGUUAGGGACUUGACCUCUGAAAAUUCUUCAUCCCUGGGCACAUAAAUACUGCUUCCCCUCGACUCUGACAAGGGAUCUGUACAUAUAUAGAGCCCGUUUGGCUGAGUUUAUGAUUUAUGAUUUAACAUGACUUUUAACGUGACUUAUGUGAUAAGCUGGAGCGUAAAAUGUCUGUUUGGGUAAUUUUGACCUAUGGAUUUUUAAAAAUAUAAUUACAAAAAUAAAAGUGAUUUAUAAAUAACUUAUGGGUAAUUUUUAUCAAAAAAAAGUUCAAAAAAUGAAAUCACUGAAAAAAAUACCUCAAACUAACUUCUGGCUUUAAGUCAAUUUCUGACUCUAAACCGACUUGUAACUUUUUACACAAACAUACAUUUUUAAGCUUAAAGUCAGAUGUCCGGGCUUCAAGCGAAGCCCGGACAAACAGGCUUAUAUCAUAUCAGAUUACUACUUACAAUAUACAACAUUUGGCACAACAUAGUAUAUAGUAGUAUCCCACAUUCUCUAUUUCUCUGCAUCUUGAAGCUGUAAAUUCUAUGCAUUCAGAUGAAGUAGAUGGCAAACACUACAACGGAAGACAUGAAUGCAUUUGUAAUAAAAUAAAAGUUUAAAGCCGUUUAAAAUUUGAUAUCCAUAGAAAUAAUAUUAAGGUUGGUGUUACUACCUUUCUUAGAGCGGGGACGCCCGGUUCUGCAACGCCUAGGAUAGGGAUGUUCCUUGCCGCCGAGAACAGGCCUUGCGAGUUUUGCAUCUUUGUCGGGAUCACCGAGAUCAUUAUAAACAUCGUAAUCGUAGAUUCUGUCCUUGCUUUUUCUUUCUCCAGUGCCGUCUCCUCUCUUUUUCAUCAGCUCAUGUUCUCUGUACCGUUUCAGUCCCUCGGGUGUCUCCGAUGGUAGAUAUGACUGGUCGUAAAAUAAUUGUUAAUUUUUGAUGAUUUCUUAAAUAAUAAUUAAUAAAAUGAGGCGUGAAUUAAUAGAUUGGAAAAUACGGGAAUUGUAAUGGUAAUUUUUAUGCUUAAUUGUUUAUUCACAUUUUAUAUUAUUUUAUAUAUUAUAUAAAUGAGAGGAAAUUUGAAAGGAAAUUAAUAUUAUAUUCAUAAUAAAAAUUAAGGUAUUUUAGAUGUUUAAAGAGUGAUCAUAGUCAAGUACAUCAAAUGCGCGCAUUGUAGACGGCAGCCUGAGAGUAGGUUUGUUAAAAAGCGGUGAUUGAGGGAAACUGCAGGUCAAAAGCAGUUUGUUUCUGCUCCCUCCGUCCCAGUGAAUUGUAUACAGUUUCCUUUUUAGGACGUCCCGUCAAUUGUAUACAUUUCGAAAAUAGUAAACUUUUAUAAUAUAAAAUAUCAUUACACCAACUACAUUCCUCCACUAUCUUCAUUCUAUAAUAAUAUAAACACUAUUACACCCACUACUUUCCUCCACCAUCUCAAAUCUAUUAUUAAAUAUAAAUGGGUCCCACCACUAUACCCACUUUUCAUCUAACUUUACUCAUUUCUUACACAAUUUCUUGGUCUCCGUGUCCCAGCCAUUUCAUUUGUAUACAAAUGACUGGGACGGAGGGAGUAACAUUUUUGUAAGUCAAACUGCUGAUUUAAUUAAUAAUUUCAAACUUUUUAAUAAUUAUUUUUAUUUUUAAAUUUGAAUAUCAAACAUAUAGAGAUUCAUUUUAAAAGAUAAUUUGUUAUUCAUAUUAAUAAUUUUUAUAUCCAAUGAAUUGAGAACACCAAAACUUUUAUUCAAAAAUAUAGAAUAAAAAUUACUCCCUCUAUCCCUCUCAUUUCUUUACAGUUACUAUUUUGGGAUGUCCAUCUCAUUUCUUUAUGUUACUAUAAAUAGAGUAUCUAUUACACCCACUACUUUCCUCCACUAUCUCAAAUCUAUUAUUAAAUAUUGAUGGGUCCCACCACUUUACCCACUUUUCAUCUAACUUUACUCAUUUUUCAUACAUUGUCUUGGUCUCCGUGUCCUCCUCCAAUGUAAACAAUUGAGGGGGACGGAGGGAGUAUUGAUCAGUUACAAUAAAUUCUCAUUUACAAGUAAUAAAUACUUCUUUUAAAUCAGGUCAAAUGCUACAAAAUAAUAUCCAUAUGCGAAAAUAGUUUGAAUAUGAGGGAAUAAAUAGCACUCUCUGUGUUUUAAUUAUUUGACGUUUUAAGUUUUGGUACAUACUUUUAAGAAUUUUGACCCAGUAGUUAAAAAUAUUAUUUUUAAUUGAUUUUUUUGUGAAUUAAAAUUUUGAUUAUAUAUUUUUAUUCUGAAAAAGAAUAUUUCAAAACAUAAUAUUUCAGAUUAUUUUUAAAAGUGGUUGUCAAUUGAGGUGAGCCUCAUAUAUUUACUGUGCUACACAUAAUGGACCCCAGGCAGGCCGGAGGAGUACAUACGACAGAACAUAGUGAACAUCAUCGUACAAUUUGAUUAUGAUCAGUCCGGGAGAGCUCGUGAUAUGGCUUUAGUUUGUUUCACAACCUAGGUUUUGUAUGGUCUAUAAAAUUUGAAAACAAAUGUUAUUAAAAGAAUAUGCAAAUAAUGACAAUUCAAGAUUUGACAUUUAUGUAAGUUAGUUGCAGGCAUCUAUUAAAAUCCAGUGUUCUAAAAAUCCCCGAUUUAGCCGAUAAAUCCCCGAUUAAUCCUCUGCAAGGUCAGCCAUCGAUCCGAUUUUUAAAAUCCGAUUAAUCCUUAUAUAUAUUUCAUAAUCGAAGUAUAUGUGAUAAAUUAUUAAAAUUAAAAUACUAUAUUACUUUAAAUAUGAAUAAUUAUAGUGUUUAAGAAUAUAGUAAAUAUAUUAGUUACUAAAUAGCUGAUAUAAUAAUAACUAAAUAUUAAAUAAUAUUUUAAUAUUAAAAUAAACCCGAUUUUAACUCCGAUUAAUCCUUCCUAUUAAUCCCCGAUUUCCGAUUAAUACUUGAAUCGGUAGCUCAACCGAUUAGGUCCGAUUCCCGAUUUCUGUAACACUGUUAAAAUCACAUACUAUAUAAUUAUAAAAUAAAUUACGCGAAUAAAAACUAAAAAUACAAUACUAACCUUGUUAGUAAAGAAAAAUCUAUUGUCCGAAUUAUUGCGGUGGGAAUGAACCCAGGACUGACAGUUGACAAGGAUGCUGCCAUUAGGGAAGCCAUCAAGCUGAAUGGUCUUGAAGAACAUCUCAUUGUGAUGUUCAUUCUCUACUUUCACACCUCCGAUCUCUCCGAAAUCGUCGGGGACAUGAAAUUUGCACUCGUAUUUCACGUCAUCUGCAUCCACAUUUCCUGCCCUGUGUGCAUACCCCUUGAUCGUCUCCUUCUCUAAUCCCGUUGCUGAUAUCAUAAUCAAUUACAGCUAGCUAGCUAGGGUUAACUUAGAGCAAGCAGGGCCGGCGCUCUUUGAAGGCCAUUUAGGCGAUCGCCUAAGGCCCCCGUGGGUGAGAGGCCCCAUAAUUUAUCUUAGUAUGUAAUUAUGUAUAUGCAAGAAAAAAAUAAUUUCAUAAUAUUAUAAAAAAUUAAAAUUUAUAUUUAAAUCUUGUAGAAAAAAAAUUAUGUGAUCAAUUUUUAUCAAAAAAUAAUUAAAAUACUAAUAUUAGUAGUAUUAAUCAUGUUUUGUUUCCUGUACUAACUUAAUAAAUACUUGACUUGAAUCUAAAAUCUAAAAAUAUGUAAAUUAUUGUUUUAUGUGAUGUAAUCUAAUUAUAGGUGUUAAAAAAAUUAGAGAUUUUAUUUCAUUUCACUUCGGUUUAUUUACCUUUUAAAUUUUGAUUUUAAUGACAUAAUUAUAUUCAUUAUUAGAAAUUAUCUAAAUAUUUAAUAAAAUUAUCUCCAAAAGUUAUUUUUUUAAUUUAUACAUCUUAUUUAUUAAUUUCAAAAAACCUUAAUAUUUAUUUAACAACUAACAUCAAAACCCUAGAAUUAAAUUUUGAAUAUUAAAAUAUAAUAAUUAAAUACAAAUUUUUAUUUUGAAAUGGAAUCCUAAAUAAAUUAUAUAAAUUAUAAAUACUAUAUAAUCAAUUUAGUUUUAAUAUAUAUAGUAUUUAAUUGUGUUUGCAUCUGAUUUCAAUAUAAUUAUAUAUAUUUAUUUAGAAUAAUUUAUUUAUUUUAUUAAUGCCUAAUUCUAAUAUAUUAUCUAAAUCAUUUUUAUAUUAAAAUUAUAAAUAAAAAUAUUAAUUUUAUAUACUAAGAGACAUAAUCAAUAAACUUAAUAGUAUAAAAUAUUAUAUAUUAUAAUGUGUUGAGGGUGAUUUUAUGUUUGUAAUAUUUAAAUAUCGCAAAAUUUUGUAUUUAUAUUAUUAAUAAAAUAUUAGAUUUUUUUUUAAAAAAUAGGCCUCACUUUAAUGAUUGGCCUAAGGUCCCAAAAUCUCUUGAGCCGGCCCUGAGAGCAAGGAUGACAUAAAUUUUGAUUUAUAUAAAAUAUAUAUGUGCAUGCAUGCUAGUACUUACAAGGAUCAAGUUGAGCAGCCACGAGUUCCAACUGAAUAGAUUUACCAAACAAAUCACUUAUAUCAUCCAGCGGAUUCCACCCCAAAUUUGACAAGAAUCCACUCACUGUGAAUUGCACCACCACCGUGGCCAACACUUCCGUCGUCGUUUCGGUAUAAUUAGCCACAGAUUUUAUGCUACUACUGCUUCUUGCAGCAUGACGAAGCUUGUUUUUAUUACCAGUACGGCUUGAUCUAGCCCUUUUGAUGUUCGAAAACGCAGGUUUAGCACCUAAGUUUCCGGAGAAGAAGGGCUUGUGGCAUUGCAGUAGGGUUUUUGAUGAGGACAAGUUGUGAAUUUGAGGCUUUAACAUUGUACGUUUAUAUCAACUGGAAGUUUGUUGCUAAUUGUGGUUUUGAUGAAUUAGUGAAGCGCGCUUGAUCUUAUUUAUAGGCAGAAAGUUCGAAGAGGUUUUUUGUUUUGAGCAAAGAAUAUUCAAAGAUGCAUGCAUGCAUGUGAGUACUAUGAUAAGACAAUAAUUUUUAUUGACUUUUGUCUUUUGAAGUACUAUUCAAAAAAGAACAGUAGUAUUUUUUUUUUUGAAAAUAGAACAGUAGUAUUUUUUAAUUUCUAUUUGCGAGAAAGAAAGGUAGUGUAUAUAUAUGUGAUUCUAAAUUUAAUUUAAUUUAAAUUAAUGAUGACCGUACACGUUGUAAAUUUCAGUUGAUCACGGCCUAGGGUUAAAACAUAACGGAGAUAGUCUAUUUAAAAUACAUUAAUCGAAAUAGGCGUCUUAUUUUUAAACAAACACAUUUUUAAUAUAAAUGAUAUAUAAUUUAUAUUAUAUUAUUAAUGUUGAAACAUGAAAAAUUUAAGCAAACAUAAAAACGCUCAUUCAUUAGAAAUGAUAUAAACUUGAAUACUGUAAAAGGCGAAAUAUUACCACUUUGAUUGUUUAUAUUUUUAUUAUUAGUAUUUAUGUUAACAAUAAUUAUUUAUUAAUCCAUUGAACUAUAUCAUAUAAUUAUGAUUAAACAUAUUUAUAUAAAUUUUGGACAUAUACCAUAUUAUAGUUAUAUAUAUAAUGUUGAAUAUUAAUUCACAUGUUCCAAAAUUUAUUUAUUACUCCCUCCGUCCCCUUUUACUUGUCCCUUUUGAAAAAAUAACGCAUCUUAAGAAAAUGUUAGGUGGAUAUCUUGUUUUCAUACAUAUCCCUAAUAAAUGUGAUGAAUUAGAUAGAGUUGUGUAUAUAUAUAUAUAUGCUAGUCAAACAUUGGAAUUUGUUACAUUUUGAAAAAACAUACAAAAAGUUGCUUCGAAAAGAGAAGUGGACAAGUAAUUUGAGACAAAAAAAAAUUUCAAAAGGGACAUGUAAAAAGGGACGGAGGGAGUAAUAUAUAGAUAAUGAUAUAUCAAUAAGAACCCGCACCAAAAUGCAAGUUAGUAUAAUCAACAAGCAAGCACCAGAAGCGCAGAGAAAACAAAAUGGUGGAAACUGGAGUGAAGGACCACUGGUAGGUAAAGUAUAUAGAGCUCACGGCAGAGCAGGCCGUGAAACACAUUUGAUAAGUAGUACUAAAAUUGGACGGGCAUAACACGUGUUCGGUGGAUGAUUUCAUCGUCGUACGUAGACGAGACCAACGUAAUCAAAGUAGUACUUCGACAAAUAUAAUCGUUGAUAGCAGGUUGUUUAAAAUUAUAGACAGAUGAUGAGUAUGAUUGAAGUGUGGUUUUUUCAAAAAAUUAAUUACACUUUUUAUUUUUAAUAUACUAAUUCAUUUUUUAACUAAAUAUUUUUUACUCUAUGAUCGUAGAUGCUUUAAGUUUCUAAUUCAUUCUCUAAAUUAAGUUAAGAACAAUUAUAUAGGAAAAUCUUCUGGGACUUGCCCCGUAAGUUCUAACAACAAACAAGGAACUCUAAACAUAUGCAUAUCAAUGGACCCGCAAAAUGAAGGAGACUGACCUGUUAAACCAGUUGAAGACCAAGUUGAAUUGUAAAAACUGGUGAGUUUUCUCAAUUUUGAGGCGCGUUUUCUUUUUCUUUUUGAGAAAAUAUAGCAGAAAUUUGAUUUUGAUAUUAAUUCUGAAUUAACGAGACUUGAACACAAAUACAAGAUAUUCUUUUAAAGUAUUCUGAAAUCAUAUUCAAAUAUAAAUGCCCUAUUGACAACUAACUCUUAGCAAAUUGGAUUAAUCGUUUUUACUCCCUCCGUCCCACUGAGUAGUAUACAUUGGGGGACGGGGACACGACACGGAUUUUAAUGCUCCUGUAAAGUGUAGUUGUAUAAUUUAUUUUUAAAAUUUUCUUUUUCGGAAUUAAAGUUUGUAUGUUAUAUUUUUAUACAGAAAAAGAAAAUCUCAAAAAUAAAUUACGGAACUAUAUUUUAUAAGAGUAUUGAAAUGCGUGUCGAGCAGUUAAAAAGAAACGUAUACAAUUAAAUGGGACAGAGGGAGUACUAUUUACAAUUAAAUGGGACAGAGGGAGUACUAUUUAGCUGAAGUAACUAUUUUGACUAAUGUAUUCAUAUUGAAUUAGCUGUUAAUUUGGUAAAAAAACUAUUUAAUUAAUUUUUCGUAUUUUAUUUAAACAUAUAUAAUUUUUUCAGAUUUAGUUUUUUUUAAUCCAAACCACUGUCUUAAUCCACUAAUUACCAAUCAAUAUUAAAUGAUUUAUAUAAUCAAAUCUUAAUUAUAUCGGAAAAGAAAAUGAAAAAUCUGUUAAUAACAUAUUUCACCCUGUUUGCAUUAUUCGGGACCUAACAAGAAGCAGUGGACAUAUUUUAGGAAGGAACAAAGGCUCUUUCGAAUCAAAUCCUUUAUUAUGUACUACAACGUGGAGGGAUGCACAUUUUCCUACAAGAUGUAGGAGUUGAAUUGCAGAUUUGUAUUAUCAUGAAAAUGCAGAUCCUAUUAUAGUUUAGUGCUCGUUUGGUUGCCUCUCCAAUACUCAGGAAUUUCAAUUUCCUAAGAAGUAACUAUAGAUGAAGUUGUUUGGUUGAUAAAAGUAAAGGAAGAGCAACUUCCAUGGAAGUAUGAAUUUGUAGGAAGUUAUUAACCCACCACACCCUUGGUCAUUGGAAGUUCCCAUGAUUUUAAAUUCCACUGUAACAACCAAAUAAUUUUUUUCACUUCCUAUAUAUUUUAAUUACCAGGAAAUUACUACUUCCCAUAGGAAGUUAAUUCCCGGAUGCAACCAAACAAGCACUUAUUUUGGAGCACGUUUAGGCGAGCUUAUGAUUUAGUACUUAAUGUGAAUUAUGACUUAAUGUGACUUAUUUAAAAAAUUGGGAGUUUAAAAUACCAGUUUGGAUAAUUUUUGAAUUAUUGAUGAUUUAGGGGUUAUUAAAAAUAUAAUAAUAAUAAUAAAAGUGUAUGGAUAAUUUAUUACUUAUUGGAAAUUUUAUCGUAAAAAAAAUUCGAAAAAAUUAAGUCAUUGAAAAAGUAUUUCAAACUAAUUUCUGGUUUUAAAUCUGAUUCUGACUUAUUUCCGGCUUUAAGCAGACUCCUGACUUAUUAUACAAACAGACAUAUUUCAGCUUAAAAUUGUAACUCACUUAAAGCCUGGACUUUAAGCCGAGGCAAACAGGCUCGUACUCGGAGGAGGGAGGAGAGCACAAUCAUUGGUUUUAGAAUUUAUUUCUUUCUGCAAGGAGAUGUAAAAUAGGUUUGUUAUAUCUGUAAAAUUUACAAGCUAAUUUAUGCUUUUACCGAAAACUACUCUAUCUAAUGGAAGCAAAGAGAAAGAGAGAUCUUACCCCAGUACUUCAAGAGAUUUAAUACUGAUAGAUUUAGUUUCUCUCCUCUUUCUCUUUCUAGAAUGGGAGAGCAGUCCUUGUGUAUAUAUAUCUGUCUCUCUGUUAUGUGUUUGGAUGGUUCUUUUUAUAUCUUCUUUUUGCUGAGUCAUUCCUUUUUUCCUUCUUUUAUUGCCACUUCAACAGCUCUAGUGUAAUAGAGUAGGUGAUUAAUCAGUUUUGUGUCACAAGCAUACAGGUGAGUCAAAAGGGGUAGGGAUAGGUGUUCUUACGGAUGUGAGACACAUGUGUCUCUGUUGGAGGCUAAGCAGGCAUGGUAGGGAUCGCAGGGUAGGCUAUAUUCCAAGGGGAGAUGGCCUCAGACCCUACGGUCUUAGGUGUCUUACGGUCCUGAUGUCUUGGGGCCUGUUUGGGACGGCGCUUGGAUGAGACCUAUGGUCUCUCAGUAUUGGCUGAUUCUCGGUCCAUCAUAUGUCCCCCCGUAGUAAAGGAGCCUUCUGAGGCUUACAUUAGGUCUAGUGAAAAGUGUACAGGCGUUUUUCUGUGGGGGUUUUCUUGCAUUUUAUUUGGUCCAUUCACUUUCGUUUUAACAGAUAUUCUCGUCUAAUUAGUGUUUAAGAACGUUUUAAGAGGUAAUCUUUCCUUUUAUUAUAAUUUUUUGUGGAAUUUCAUGUCGGUUGGACUGUUUUGUUUAAGUAAGAUGUGAACAUGGAUGUUGUAAUGGAUGAUAUUAGGGUUGUAUGAAAUUUAACUGUUUUCUUAUUGUGUUUCUUAAUUUGUGGGUAUUGGUAUUCAUAUGGUUAGCCUUGGUUUGGGAGAGCAAAAAAGCUUCAAUUUUAAGUGUCAUUGUGGCGAGAUUUGAUGUUUAUGUUUUUGAUUUGACGUUUGUUGUUGCAGAAAGUUAGCCAGAAAGUAUAGCACGAGAAUAACUUUUCAAAGGAUUGUAGAUGUGUAAUAAAUUUUAUCUAAAUAGUCCUGUUUUUUUUCUAGACAAUGAAGAAGUGUAACAUUUCUUGUAUUAGGUACAGGCAUAUUGGUAUUGGUGAACAGUGGUAGCCUUUGUGCUGAGUAACGAAGUUGGUUGUGGGGCUGCGUUUGUCUCGCGCCUCCCUGGUUCAUGCUAGUAGCAUCGAUAAUGUUGCUUGUCCAGAUGUAUGGGGAUUUGAGAGCUUUCUAGGACUCCUAAUAGAAGACUCCUAGGGUCGGAAGCUGAUGGAUCAUGUAUAUUUAGGGAAAUAUGGAGUAGAACGUUGUAAAACUAUUGGAAUUUUGUGCGUGAGUUGUAGGUUUUUUUAAAAACUUUGUGAAUUGCGAAGGGUGGGCGAGGUUGCCUCAUGUAUGUGUCUUUUUCAUGUUUUUAUGAAUUCGAUGGAAGGCAGGUUAAUAAGCAUGUGUUCUUAUUCUGGUGAACUUUAUGAUUUUGUAAAAAUUGUGAAUGUGGUUCUAUGACUUGUUUAUGGGCGCUUUGAUGUUUUCAUGUGAGUAGGUGUGCCGCGAACGAAGGAGAAGUAAGCUUUUAGGUUACUAUGGAAGUUAGGGCAACAUGUAGUGAGAGGUACAUGGUUUGUUACGGGGCCGUAUAUACUGUAGGGUUGUAUAUGUCGGCUUUUUGGCAGAGACGUGGGGCUGUAGCGUUGUACGGCUACCUAUGUUGGCCUUUUGGCAAUGGAGUCAUAGCAAGGGUGUGGCUAUGUAUGCUGGCUUUUUGCUGUUGGACUAUAGCGAUUGUAGGGAUAUGUAUGAUGGCCAUGUGGCAGAGGUGCCAUAGCGAACGAAUGGGCCAUUCAUGCAUAAGGUGGCUUUUCGUCGUAGGGAUGUAGCUAUCACAGGGCUACUUAUGUUGGCCAUUUGGCGUGGCUGUUUGGUGAAACCCAUGAGGUUGUGUGGGUUGUAGUGAACCUUAGGGCCGUAGAAAAAAUGGGCUACGUAUGUUGGCCAUUUGGUCAAACUCGUAGGAUUGUGUGGGUCGCAGUGGACCUUAUGGCUAUAGCGAAAAUGGAGUGGCAUAUAUGGCCGAGUCGCUCAAUGCGACAGAAAACGUAGAUUAAGUGAUGGAUAUUUUACAAGUAGAGGUGUUAGGUAUAUAGAAAGUUGCUAAUCACCUAAUACAUACUUCGGGGGCAUGGAGGUGCCUUCAUUGAUAGAAGCGGCCAAGGUUGGAGAUAUGUCAAGUGUCGGGGACGGGGUCUGUUCGAAAUUUUUGUGUGUUCCUUCCAUGUGAUGGGUAUGAUAUUAUGUUUUUGGAUCGUAAAUGCACAAUGGUGUUCCCUUUGUUGUUAUUUAGGCAGCCUAUCAUCGUGAUUCAGGCUGUUUGGUAUGGAUUUUAUGUUUUUCAUGCUCAUAAAUUUUUUAUUUUACAUGCUUGUGUGAAGCAUGAUGGGGUGCCUACCGCAGGGGGAUGGUCUUUAGGCCAUCCUGUGAGGAGCCCGUUUAUGUGAGACUAAAGAUUUCUUGGCUGUCGGAGUAGUUAAGAGACUUUGUGAUAGUGGUAUUAGUUGCGGCGAUAUAUCGUAGCGUUCGUUGCGCUAUUUGUAAGGGUCAGUAGGCAUAACGAGCGAAUGUGUGAUGUAUGUAGGCUCUUUGUUGUUGGGCCGUAGCGAUUGUAGGGCUACGUAUGAUGGCCUUGUGGCAGGGGAGCCAUAGCGAAUGAGUGGGCCAUGUAUGUAGUCUGUCUGCUGUUGGGCUGUAGCGAUUGUAGGGCUACGCGUGAUGGCCUUGUGGCAGAGUAGCCAUAGCAAGCGAAUGUGCGAUGUAUGUAGGCUCUCUGCUGUUGGGCCGUAGCGAUUGUAGGGCUACGUAUGAUGGCCUUGUGGUAGAGUAGCCAUAGCGAGCAUGUAGAGUUGUAGCUAUUGUAGGACCGUAGCUGUUGUAGGGCUACAUACGUAGGCCUUUUGGCGAAUGAGCCUUAUGUGUAAGGGGGCUCCUCGCUGUUGGGCCGUAGCUAUUGUAGGGCUACUUAUGUUGGCCUCUUGGCGAAUGAGCCUUAUGUGUAAGGGGGCUCCCCGCUGUUGGGCCAUAGCUAUUGUAGGGCUACUUAUGUUGGCCUCACGCAUAAGGUGGCUCUUAGAUGUAGAGUUGUAGCUAUUGUAGGGCCGUAGCUAUUGUAGUGCUACUUAUGUUGGCCAUUUGGCGAAUAAGCCCUGAGUUGUAAGGGGGCUCUUCGCAGUUGGGCCGUAGCUAUUGUCGGGCUACUUAUGUUGGCCAUUUGGCGAAUAUGCCCUGAGUUGUAAGGGGGCUCUUCGCAGUUGGGCCGUAGCUAUUGUGGGGCUACUUAUGUUGGCCAUUUGGCAAAUAAGCCCUGAGUUGUAAGGGGGCUCUUCGCAGUUGGGCCGUAGCUAUUGUGGGGCUACUUAUGUUGGCCAUUUGGCAAAUAAGCCCUGAGUUGUAAGGGGGCUCUUCGCAGUUGGGCCGUAGCUAUUGUGGGGCUACUUAUGUUGGCCAUAGCCCUGAGUUGUAAGAGGGCUCUUCGCAGUUGGGCCGUAGCUAUUGUAGAGCUACUUAUGUUGGCCAUUGGGCGAAUAAGCCCUGAGUUGUAAGGGGGCUCUUCGCAGUUAGGCCGUAGCUAUUGUAGGGCUACGUAUGAUGUCCUUGUUUUAUUCUGUGUUAGAUAACGCUUAAGGAAAAGGGGAGAUAUAUGAGGUGGUAGAAAAAAUUUACAUACAGAUGUGUUAUUUGUAUACUAACUGAAAGUCGCUGUAUACCUGUAUGCAAUCAACCUUGAGAUCGUGAGCUAGGCGGAGGACGGCUAGAAGGGUUUCGUAUUCAGAGCAAUUGUUAGCGGUGGGGAAGUCGAAUCUAUUGGAUUGCUGAAUUUGAAAGCACUCUUCAGUGGUCGGAGGACCUGGACCUUGCUCUUCGUCCAUGUCGGGGACUGUUGUUGCCAAAUGGGCAAUGGUGGGAGUUUGCUGAGACUCGAGACCUAGAGGAAGAACGGUUUGGCCUAUGAAGGUCGUUAUCUGGGCAGCCAAAUUAUCCACCUACUCUUGUAGAUGUCGUUGUUGAGCUUUAUAUUGGUCGAAGCGAUCGAAAUUCGGGGAGUGAGAUGGUGAGGGAGUGAUGCUAUACGGGUGGCCGUGAGAAGACUGAGAUGGUGAAGGUGCUAUACGGGAAUGAUGCUAUACAGGUGAUUGAUUUUUCGCUCACCUUUCGUCGUUUAGGGUUUUCUUCCUGGUCGUAGUGGUAUGGCGGUGAAAAUCACGGGUUUCUCUUUCUUUCCGAUCCCCGGCGGCGGCGCCAAUUGAUAGAUUUAGUUUCUCUCCUCUUUCUCUUUCUAGAAUGGGAGAGCAGUCCUUGUGUAUAUGUAUCCGUCUCUCUGUUAUGUGUUUGGAUGGUUCUUUUUAUAUCUUCUUUUUGCUGAGUCACUCCUUUUUUCCUUCUUUUACUGCCACUUCAACAGCUCUAGUGUAAUAGAGUAGGUGAUUAAUCAGUUUUGUGUCACAAGCAUACAGGUGAGUCAAAAGGGGUAGGGACAGGUGUUCUUACGGAUGUGAGAAACGUGUGUCUCUGUUGGAGGCUAAGCAGGCAUGGUAGGGAUCACAGGGUAGGCUGGGUUCUAAAGGGAGAUGGCCUCAGACCCUACGGUCUUAGGUGUCUUACGGUCCUGAUGUCUUGGGGCCUGUUUGGGACGACGCUUGGAUGAGACCUACGGUCUCUCGAUAUUGGCUGAUUCUCGGUCCAUCAAAUACCAAAUCUAUUUUUUUAAAUGCCCGGUUUACGAUCUUGUACGUGAUCGUGAUCGUUUGAUAAGAAAUGAAAAAGGGAUAAUAUGCCGCGUGUUAAGUAAAAAGAGGAUUAAUAGAAUCUUAUUGAUUAUGUAAGAAUGUUACAGUAAGAUUUCUUCUUCUUACUCCACACGGGAGGUAAUAUUUUUGGUACCAAAGUAGGAUCCCUUUCUUGAGGUCACCAUCUUGCUAUUUAUAGGCUUUCUACGACCAGUAAUGCAUGUGCCAAUCAUGUGCUUUAUAAGAUUAUAGUUAUGGACUUCUUUGACAUUGGGUUUCUGGCUAUGGGCCAACACCGCGGAAAUAAGGUCACUACAUAUGUGUAUAUCACAAUCCAGACGAAGACAAUCCAUUUUUAACUCCAGAUUAAUAUAUGUUCUUCUCUAUUUCAAAACGUUCGGGGGUCGCUUGGAGGGCUAUCUUGAAUUAGGUAUGGGUUUCGUUCAUUCCAAACCCCAUAAAGAAACAAAUUUUCAAACCCACAGUAUGGAUUUUGAUACCCAAAAGAUGAGGUGGGUAUGAAAUGGGGUAUGAGUAUCAGUUUUAUAUUAUCAGUUUUAUAUUUUAUUUUUGUCUAUAUUUAAGCAAUUAAAUAUUAAUAUUUAAUAUUUAAUAUAAAAAUAAUCAAUAAAGCAAAAAUAUAUAACAAUAAUAAUUUUUAUUAAUAUUUUAAUUAAUAUAAAUAACUAAUAUAAUUAUUUUUAAAAAAUUAGAUAUAUUGAUUUCAGCGAUCGACCAGACACAUGAUAUAUGAUACCUUAAACCCAUACCACCUUAAUCCGAUUACAGUUCCAAACUAAUAUCACUUGGCAAACGACCCCCCGAAGGACUUGCAAAAUUCAAGCAACCUCAAUGGAAAAUUACAAGACUUACUCAAUCACACAACUUCAACUCCAUGCUCGAAGUUUUAGAUAGAAAUACUAUUAGGAACUCCUUUUGCUGUAACUCCAGGUUCUGAAUAAGGUUUCAAAAGCUCAUAUGGCACUACACCAGCUCCAGUUCUGUUCCUCAACUUUUUAUCAUUAUUUCGGGCAUCAACAAUUCCUUCAAGCUCCUUCAACUUUCCAGCAAACACUUCAAAUGCUGAUUUGAUGGCAGGGUCCUCUGCCCAUGAAGGCUCUGGCGCUUCACCAAUGUACUCCUCGUCAAUUGAAUGAUUUGACAGAACAUCCAGAAUGGCCAUAAUUUUGGAAGCUUGAAGUUGUGUUGGAAAGCAUGACAAAAGUGCAUCUUCAGGCCUUCUUUCAAAUGUUUUCCAUUCUUCAUCAGUUGGAUCUUCGGAUGGCAUUUUGACUCUAGCUAUUGUUGGUCUAUUAGGCAUAUAAGCUGCAAAGUCAUACUGUCCAAAGUUGACAGCUGCAUGGUGACCAGAUGUUACCCAUAUAAUGGUUGUGAUGAUUUGUACUAAAUCUUUUGGGGUUUUGAGAUUCGGCCACCAGGGUUCAUCUUUUUUGUCACCAUGUCCAACUGUUCGGAUUUCUUCCCACCAUGCUUGGAGUUCUUCAUCAGAUUCAAUCUGGCCUGGUUUAGGAUAGUAAUGGUUUACAUAAUCUGUAACCCAUUGUUUAAUGGUGUCCCAUAGGAUUAGACCAUCAUUUGCAUAGGGGUAAUCUUCUAUUGUCAACUUUAGACCAUGUGGAGCUCUUGGAUCUUUCUCUGCCAUUCCCCUGCAAAAGUUUAAUAAAAUUUUGAUUGUGUUAGGUUCUUAACACUAAAAAGAGGUGGCGAUUAAAAUUUAGGCUGGCGUGAGGUUGCAGAUUGAAAUAUAGGCUGUUCUGUGGCCACAUAUGUUUAACAUACCUUCACUUGCUCAUUACAUUCCUCUAAUUAAACUCCAAACCCAUUCCUUCCAAUUUAAUUGAAAGGUCAUUCUUUCACAAACUUUCACAUCAUUUUUAUUUACACACUAUCUUUUUUGUCAUUACUGCAAGUCUUAUAUUUAUCUCUUCUAUGUUCAAUUACCGUGUUCAUAGUUUUCAGGACAUUCAUAUCCCUGAUCCAUUCCAACUAAGCAAGCUUAAAAAAAUACAAAAAAGUUUUUUAAACUUUCUUUGUUUGAGCUCGACACUAUCACAAAUGCAAUUCACCAGAAUAAGUGCACCCCAAGUUCCUUCUUGAUUGUGAAAUAGUAAAGCUCAACAGCAAAAUGCACAGAGUUUAGUUUUUAAGGUCUUUAGGCCAGUAAAGCACAGUUAAGAGUCUGUUUAAGCGUCAGUGGAAAAUGAUUUGGUAUAUAAUGACUGGUUAGUAGAGUUACUUCCUUGGUAAGCAAAUCAGGUUGUUAGUAAGUAAUUACCUGCUAAUGAGGUCUUCUGGCAGUGCCUGGUGAUCAAAACGCCAAAGCUUGUCGUACGCAACAGAGCUAAAUUCGAUAGAGUACUUUCUAGGUGCAAAGGAUGACUCAAUAAUUCCAUCCGCGUUAAUGAGAGCUUGUCGCGCCAAGGCGUUGAUUUCCAUUGUGUAUCGGAAAUAAGGAUGUAAUAGUCUGUAAAUUGGGUGCGCCUCACUG